rnacentral:rRNA from 1 species
UUUUACCAUCANCGAGUCGCGACUUCUAGGAGACGCGAUUCUUUGAGAAAAAAGUUAUUACAACUUUCAGCAACGGAUCUCUUGGCUCUCGCAUCGAUGAAGAACGCAGCGAAUCGCGAUAUGUAAUGUGAAUUGCAGAUCUACAGUGAAUCAUCGAAUCUUUGAACGCACCUUGCGCUCCUCGGUGUUCCGAGGAGCAUGCCUGUUUGAGUGUCAGUAAAUUCUCAACCCCUCUCGAUUUGCUUCGAGCGGGUGCUUGGAUGUUGGGGGCUGCCGGAGACACUGGAUUCGUCCAGGACUCGGGCUCCUCUUAAAUGAAUCGGCUCGCGGUCGACUUUCGACUUUGCAUGACAAGGCCUUUGGCGUGAUAAUGAUCGCCGUUCGCCGAANUGCAAGACAGAAUGGUCCCGUGCCUCUAAUGCGUCGACGCCUCUAGGGGCGUCUUCCUCAUUGACGUUUGACCUCAAAUCAGGUAGGACUACCCCGCUGAACUUAAGCAUAUCAAUAAGCGGAGGA